AUUUCACCGAGCCAGCCAAACUUGGAUUGCUGUGCAGCCCUAGAAUCGACAUUAUUAACAGGUAAAAUGGAUGCAAGGGACAGACAAAGACUGGAUCUUGAAGAGGUGGGGCAGCAAGGGUGAACGUGACUGCACCCAGAAGAUGGUGAAAUCAUCCACUGAGGGACAUGGUGGGCAACUGCCCCUGAAAAGGAAGUCUCGGAAACACCAGCCCAGGUUGUUGGGCUACGAUGCUUAACCCGUCAAAGAAGGGCCUCCUGAGAGACUUGACCUGUAAAUAGUUAUUGUGUAAAUAGUUAAUGUGCUUUAAGCUUGUUAGCUGCACUCUUAAGUAAAGGGGGAGGGAUGUGGUAAAAUGAGGUACCCUGUCCCUUUAAGAGAAUGCAAGUAUACUGAUCAUGUGAAAGCACUGACGAAUCACUGUACAGCGCAGGCAUCUGUGAACUGGAGGUUUAGUUCUGGAGGUUUCUGAGUGAGCAUGUAUGAUCUGGUGAUCUGCCCUAUGUCUCAAUAAACCAUCACUGUUCAUUUUUA